CCAAGUCUCAAAUAUUGAAGAAUCUCUAACCAGGGACACCAGUCCCUACGAAGACCUUGGGCGAUUUUGAAGUGCGGGCACCUCGAUUCCCCGAAUCUGUAGUGUGGCUGGUAUCGGUGUUCCCCUGGUUUAACUAGCCUGUUUGAUGGGGAAAUUGAGGCAGAGAAGCCAAGACAUGCGCUAAAGGUCCAUGCAGGCUAUGAAUGGAGCUGGAAUGUAAACGCAGGCCAUGUGACUCCAGAGCCCAUGUUCUUGAACCCUUAGAAAGACAGCAGCAACACACCUGGUGCAGCAGCUGCUUAGUUGGAGUGGCUGACAAGGUUGGCAGAGGAUCCCGUUCCUCCCGUGGAGUGGCUGCCAUGAUACUGCCUGCACUGAAGCUGCUCCUAUUUCUGAAAUAUGUAUUGUUAUUUUUUUCCCUCCAUGUUGAACAUUAUACUCUUCUGUUCUUUCGCA
rnacentral:antisense_RNA from 1 species